rfam:Musa acuminata subsp. malaccensis Doubled-haploid Pahang (DH-Pahang) genomic chromosome, chr7
AUAUGUGUGAGAGAGCUUCCUUCAGUCCACUCAUGGGUGGUAUUGGGGUUUGAAUCAGCUGCCGACUCAUUCAUUCACACACUCAGUGGAAAGGAAGUGACAGUUCUCGCCACCGCACAGCAGCAGACAGGAGAGGUCUCGGACUUGAGCUACCUACUGUGUGAAUGAGUGAAUGAUGCGGGAGAUUAUUCUCUCUCUUCCAUUCCAUACUUGGACUGAAGGGAGCUCCUCUUUCUCAUCUU